rnacentral:rRNA from 2 species
UUUAUUGGAGAGUUUGAUCCUGGCUCAGGAUGAACGCUGGCGGCGUGCCUAAUACAUGCAAGUCGAGCGAAUGGAUUAAGAGCUUGCUCUUAUGAAGUUAGCGGCGGACGGG